UUAGAAUUAGUUAAUUAAUAACAUUAAAAUGUCAAUUUAAAAUUAUACUUUAUUCUAAU
rnacentral:tRNA from 1 species